CUGCUCUUGUGGGGAAGGGCCCUGACUAUGGGCACACAGGGGACAUUGCUGUGUUUGGAGCUGGUCUCUGUUCCUGUUAUCUUGGGCAAUACAAACUGCCACACACCUGCUCAAUGGAAUGGGACGGAAGAGGGUGAUACCAAAGAAAAUUGCAGUGAGGACCUUGGGCUGUUGGAGGGAUUGUGUAGAAAGCUGUGUGGACAAUCACACGAACAAAAGUCAUCAUUGAAGCCACAUCCCACCCUCAGGAGUUUGCUCUCUCAGGAGGCGGCAUCCAGCAGAGCUAGCGGCCUUAGCUGUCCAGAGGUGGAGAACAACGCCACCUGUUGGUUGAAUAAGAUAUGGCCGCACAACAACUUGGCAUUGAUCUGUCACCCAUGAAGUGUUUAUUAAUCAUCCAUUGGGUACAGGACCCACAGCACUGGGCUGUAUGUAUAAGACUGUGGGAAGAGAAGUGGGAUGAGAGGUGAGGGGAAUGCAGGAGAACUUGGAAGCACAGCUCUGCCGCGCAGAACCGAAAGGUGUGAGUUGGAGCCUGGGCCGCCCAUUUCUGUCCUUUCUUGUGGGUGCCUAAAGAUCUGUGAAAAUAAACUGAAGGAGAGCGGAAGAAGUGAGGGACCUGGAUUGGCCUGAGAAGCUUAGAGAGGCUCCAUCAAAGAGGCAAAACCUGAGCAAGCAAGGACUUGGAAAAGCAAAAUGGUAUUUCUGCACACCUGUGAAAUGAUGUAUGUACAAGCUAUUUGCUGCAAUGUUAUUUGAAAUAUAAAAGUUGGGAAUGGCCCAUGUGUCCAUCAGUAGAGGUGUGGGAG
rnacentral:lncRNA from 10 species